rnacentral:lncRNA from 1 species
CGGAUCGAAAAAGUCAAAACACGAAAAAUGUCCGGAAUAUUCAAAUUAGGCUAAAGGUGAGUUUUCUCGAAACUUCCGGGAAGAAAAUUUGCUACCUCGUUACGAGUGGACGGUUUUACGGAAGUCAAAUAAUUAAUAUAUAAAUAUAAAUAUACGCAAUUAAAUCCGUAAAUCGAUUAUAAAAUCAUCUAACAUUCCAUAAAUCGAUAUGAAAAUAUCCAAAUAAACUAUAUUUUCUCCUGAGCAUAUAGAAAUUGAAAUCUCUCAAAUACGAACACAUAUGAGCAGUUAACGCAAUAAACCAGAUAAUAUAAAAUUCACAAAAAUUCAUAUAUUAAUCAUAUAAUACUCAUAAUUAACCAUAAUUAAUUAACCAACAAAUCCACCAAUACCACUUACUCACAUCACACAUAUAUUCACAUAAUAAUCAUCUAAAAUUUUCGAAACAAUAUAUGAAAAUCAGUUUUAAAAAUAUAAUCAUUUAUCAAUAACACAAUAACCCGGGGUUUAAAUAUAAAACUUUGAAAACUCAUUAAACUGGAAUAAAAUAUUAAAUCUUAUUCCCUUCUUUAAAGAAAAAUCACUUUUAAUACUAAUAAAAAUAUUUUUAAAAAUCCGGGUCAUUACAAUCUACCCUCCUUAUAGGGAUUCCGUCCUCGGAAUCAGAGAAAGAAGGAGGACACAUAAUUUGUAAAAUCCAUAUCAAUCCACUGAACAAGUAUAAUCACAUAAAACUAUUCACAUAAUCAAUUCGCUUUUCAACUACAGCCAACAAUAAUAUUUAGACAAAUAGAUUUAUAAUAAUCACAUCUAAAUUUAAUAAUAUGGGAUAUUACA